rnacentral:ncRNA from 1 species
UGUUUGUAAAAUAUUUUGGUAUUCUAGGGGGGGGGCCGGGCGCGCGCGGGCCCCGGCGGGGCGCCCCGCCGGGCCGGCGUCCCGGCCGUCGGUGAAAUACCACUACUCUGAUCGUUUUUUCACUUACCCGGUGAGGCGGGGAGGCGAGCCCCGAGGGGGGCUCUCGCUUCUGGCGCCAAGCGCCCGGCGCGUGCCGGGCGCGACCCGCUCCGGGGACAGCGGCAGGGGGGGAGGUUGGCUGCCGGGGUACACCUGUCAAAGCGUAACGCAGGUGUCCUAAGGUGAGCUCAGGGAGGACGGAAACCUCCCAUGGAGCAGAAGGGCAAAAGCUCGCUUGAUCUUGAUUUUCAGUACAGCUACAACACGCCCAAAGGAAGAAUCCCUGAGGAAUCCACAGUGCAUGAA